rnacentral:rRNA from 1 species
AUUGAACGCUGGCGGUAUGCUUAACACAUGCAAGUCGAACGGUAGCAUGACUUAGCUUGCUAAGUUGAUGACGAGCGGCGAACGGGUGAGUAACGCGUAGGAAUAUGCCUUAAAGUGGGGGACAACUUGGGGAAACUCAAGCUAAUACCGCAUAAUUUCUUAGGAAAAAAGCUGGGGACCUUCGGGCCUGGCGCUUUAAGAUUAGCCUGCGUACGAUUAGCUAGUUGGUAGGGUAAAGGCCUACCAAGGCGACGAUCGUUAGCUGGUCUGAGAGGAUGACCAGCCACACUGGAACUGAGACACGGUCCAGACUCCUACGGGAGGCAGCAGUGGGGAAUAUUGGACAAUGGGGGCAACCCUGAUCCAGCAAUACCGCGUGUGUGAAGAAGGCCUGAGGGUUGUAAAGCACUUUCAGUGGGGAGGAGGGUAUUUAGGUUAAGAGCUAGAAUACUGGACGUUACCCACAGAAGAAGCACCGGCUAACUCCGUGCCAGCCGCCGCGGUAAGAC